rnacentral:rRNA from 1 species
UACAGAGGUCUCAAGCGUUGUUCGGAUUCAUUGGGCGUAAAGGGUGCGUAGGCGGCGCGGUAAGUCGGGUGUGAAAUUUCGGAGCUUAACUCCGAAACUGCAUUCGAUACUGGCGUGCUUGAGGACUGGAGAGGAGACUGGAAUUCAUGGUGUAGCAGUGAAAUGCGCAGAUAUCAGGAGGAACACCAAUGGCGAAGGCAGCUCGCUGGGACGUGACUGACGCUGAGACGCGAAAGCGUGGGGGAGCAAACAGG